UGAAUGAUAUGAUGAAGGUUAAAGGUUAUAUCAAUGAAAUGGCUGUGAGGGUAGAAGAUGAAGACGAGAGGAUCUCAAGCCUUGCAAAACUCUUCUUUCAUGAGCUAUCAAAGAAAGGAAGCAAUCCAAUUUAUAAUCUUCUUCCGGAUAUUCUGAGCAGACUGUGCAAUCAGCACCUCAAGGAAGAAAC